CCUAGAAUUCUGUACCCUGCAAAAUUAUCCUUUAAAAGUCAAGAAGAAAUAGACUUUCUCAGACAAACAAAAAUUUGGUGAAUUUGUUGACAGUAGACCUACCUUGCAAGAAAUGUUAAAAGAAGUUCUUCAGAGAGAAGGAAAAUCAUACGAGUCAGAAACUCUGAUGUACAUAAAGAAAGCAAGAGCAUCAGAGAAUAAGUUAAGGUAAAAUGAACACGUUUAUUUUUCUUAUUCCUAAUGGAUCUAAUAGAGAACAGUUUGUUCAAAUAAUAAUAGGCACACACACAUUUAAUGGAUGGAAUGCCAAUCUACGUCUUAUAGUCUUCUUCCCUUUCCCCCAACUGUAUCUCCCUUCCGGCCUUAAGUCUGCUCAGUAAUUUCCAGCAGCAAAAUGUUCUUUUCUCCUUUGUGUUGCUAGUUUAAAGCAGUAGUUGAAAAUGACUGUAUAUGACAGGGGAAGAACUAAUUUGCAGUCACUCCACUCUUCCCCUCACUUCCCUUUUGGAUGAUAGAUUAUUGCCCGCAGGUGCUAUUUUGCUGCAGGGAAUCUGAGAAAUGAAGGAAUCAACAGAAAGGAUAAUGUGAGGACACAUGGAGAUGGUCACCAUCUGCAGGUCAAGGAGAGAAGAGGCCUCAAGAGAAACCAACUCUGCUGACACUUUGAUCUCAGACUUCCAGCCUCCAGAACUACAUUUUAUAAAAACUGACACCAUGAAAGACAGAAGCUAUGCUAACCAAACAGAAGAACCAACACUUAAGGAAUCAAAGUUAAUGAAAAAAAGAAGAUUAUAGAAAACAGUGUAAUUAAAAUCUUGAGGAGACUUUUCAUUUCUACUGUGACCAACAGAGCUCCAACUGGACCAGCUGUCUUGCAGUUAACUUUAUAAGCCCAGGAUGAAAUACAAAAACAACUUACUGGAGAAGACACUAGAGAAUGACCAAAAAGCAGAUACUUGCUGGAGAGGUCUCAACAGUUGAACAAAAGGAAAGUUACAAGUCUAGCCUAAAGGCAGGCCCCGUCUCUUACAUGUAGAGUGACUAGAACUGUUUGAAGACCUUUAAAGUCUUUUUGACCUAACAACCAAAGACAGAGUUCAGUAUAACCACAGUCACUGGAAAGGGAGGGAGAGGAGUCCCCAAAAGGAGAAAGCCAGAGAAGAUUAAGCACCAAAUACUGUGAAUAAAUUCUGUACAAAUUUC